rnacentral:rRNA from 1 species
GGAGGUGAACCUGCGGAGGGAUCAUUACCGAGUUUACAACUCCCAAACCCCUGUGAACAUACCAAUUGUUGCCUCGGCGGAUCAGCCCGCUCCCGGUAAAACGGGACGGCCCGCCAGAGGACCCCUAAACUCUGUUUCUAUAUGUAACUUCUGAGUAAAACCAUAAAUAAAUCAAAACUUUCAACAACGGAUCUCUUGGUUCUGGCAUCGAUGAAGAACGCAGCAAAAUGCGAUAAGUAAUGUGAAUUGCAGAAUUCAGUGAAUCAUCGAAUCUUUGAACGCACAUUGCGCCCGCCAGUAUUCUGGCGGGCAUGCCUGUUCGAGCGUCAUUUCAACCCUCAAGCCCAGCUUGGUGUUGGGACUCGCGAGUCAAAUCGCGUUCCCCAAAUUGAUUGGCGGUCACGUCGAGCUUCCAUAGCGUAGUAGUAAAACCCUCGUUACUGGUAAUCGUCGCGGCCACGCCGUUAAACCCCAACUUCUGAAUGUUGACCUCG